rnacentral:lncRNA from 1 species
AUACAUCAAUCAUUUUGUUACAUCUCAUCUUGUAACAAACUACACUAUGACUUAGACUCCAAUCAAUUGAAACUUUAGAGUUCGGUCUUCAUCUUGAUUAAGAAGUUAGAUUGUCUUAAUCUAAACAUGAAUAUUCUCAAUAAUAAUAAUGUUUCAUAUAUUCUUUCUACACCAUAUAUACGACAAAGUACAUUUGUCUAGAUCUAUACAAUACAAAGUAUACAAAUAGUACCUAAAUC